AUGAACUGCAUCAGAGGUCUGAAGAAGGUGGACUUACUUGUCAGCAACCCAAUAAAGAUUUCAGAGACCUCGAUCCCGAGAUCUAGUAUGCAGCGGUAUCACAACACUGCUUCCAUACUUCUCCCACUUGGCUUUAUUGGUUUAUCUUUGCCUAUAGUAGUCCAUGGCUAUCUUAUUCAAAUUACACUUUAUUGCUCUCAAGGAUGUUACUUGACCAUCUUUUAUUCAAGUAAAUAG
rnacentral:lncRNA from 1 species